UAAUGCCACGGGGGGCAGCAGUGAGGAAUAUUGGUCAAUGGGCGCGAGCCUGAACCAGCCAAGUCGCGUGAAGGAUGACUGCCCUACGGGUUGUAAACUUCUUUUAUAAAGGAAUAAAGUGAGGCACGUGUGCCUUUUUGUAUGUACUUUAUGAAUAAGGAUCGGCUAACUCCGUGCCAGCAGCCGCGGUAAUACGGAGGAUCCGGGAGUUAUCCGGAUUUAUUGGGUUUAAAGGGAGCGGAGAUGGGUUGUUAAGUCAGUUGUGAAAG
rnacentral:rRNA from 1 species